rnacentral:rRNA from 1 species
CCUACGGGAGGCAGCAGUGGGGAAUAUUGGGCAAUGGACGCAAGUCUGACCCAGCAACGCCGCGUGAAGGAAGAAGGCUUUCGGGUUGUAAACUUCUUUUAAGGGGGAAGAGCAGAAGACGGUACCCCUUGAAUAAGCCACGGCUAACUACGUGCCAGCAGCCGCGGUAAUACGUAGGGGGCAAGCGUUAUCCGGAUUUACUGGGUGUAAAGGGAGCGUAGACGGCUUGGCAAGCCAGAUGUGAAAGGCUGGGGCUCAACCCCAGGACUGCAUUUGGAACUGUCAUGCUAGAGUGUCGGAGAGGCAGGCGGAAUUCCUAGUGUAGCGGUGAAAUGCGUAGAUAUUAGGAGGAACACCAGUGGCGAAGGCGGCCUGCUGGACGAUGACUGACGUUGAGGCUCGAAAGCGUGGGGAGCAAACAGGAUUAGAUACCCUUGUAGUC